ACAGGCAAAGGUCAAAACCAGGAGGACUAGAAAAAGAGAGAUAAGAAAACCACAUUGGUUGACUUGACAAGACAAAAUGGUAACAGAAAACAGGGAACACUGGAAAAAAAUACCCAGGGACUAAUGGGGAAACGGGUGACACCUGGAGGUGGGUGGAGACAAUCACAAAGACAGGUGAAACAGAUCAGGGUGUGACCAACGUAACCUAUAAGAGAGCAGCACAAGCCAUCAUGAGUCAUGAUUCAUCUACAUCACCUGAAGCCCGAAGUAAUAAAGAGAUGCUAUAAUAUCCACAAUACUCACUGAAACAUAGAACUGUCUAACUGCUGCUCAGUGUCAGGUGGCUGUCUCCACGCUGUCAAAGUAUUGGAUAGCAAAAAUGAAAGAAAGAAAAAGAGACAUAAGAAAUGUAGGAGUAAAAUAAUGGCUACCUGAACCUGCAUGACAUGAGCCAUCCUGUAACGGCUGUUGAAUGGAGUAGACCAAGGCGCAGAGUGAGAGGAGAGGGGGAGCUGCUGGAUGGUCACCGUUCACACCCUGCUGUAAAUCUCUAGAGGGGGAAACUUUCUCUUUUCACUCUCUAGUAUUGGCUAAAGCAGUGGUCGCCAACCAGUCGAUCGCGAUUGAUCUCAAGGCAUUCCUAGUUGAUCACCAAAUAUUUCUGUAGAAAAGCCAACGAACGAUAAAGGCUGGUGCUCCUUUUUUUAAAUCGUGUUGAACUGUUGCCAUUAGGUGCACUUGAUUCAAAUGUCCUGCACAACGGGUAAGCAAAGUGUUCCCAUGAGUCAAACUCUGCGGUGGACCCGGAAAAUCUGUGACUAAAUCGAGUGCACCUACUGUGCUGCCCAAUCGGAUAGCUCAAAUCACCGUGGCUACAGAGCUUCCAUGACCCUGGCCACUGCCAGGUUUAAUAGGCUACAAGCCUAUGUAAGAUUUAAUAACUUUUAAAACCAUGACCACAGGGAGACUGUCAAUGAAUACAACGAAGAGCUGCUGUUUUAAUGAGUGAGUUUAAGUUUAUAUUCAGCACUGUCACUGUUUUUAUUCAACACUAUUACAAAACGUGCUUCUCCGUACUUCCGCUCAGGCCACAGCUGCAAUGAAUGAGUAGCCAAGUAUCGAUAGCCCUGCGUUUUAUUGUUAUUAGCAGCUCGUCAUGUCGAUUUUAAUAUUAAGGAAUAUUUAACUUUCUCUGGUCAUAACAUGAAUUUGUGCAUGAGGCAGAUGCGGUGCGACUCGAGUUUCGCCAUCAGGUGGAAGACUGUGUCCCCUCUCUCUGAUCAGUCUCACCGGAGGAAAGGAAGGAGAGAGCAGGGAACGUGAGAGGCAGUUGGGAAAAUGUUUUUGAACAGUCAUCCAAUUCUGAAUUCCAAGUUGGAAACUCGGGCAUCUUUCUAGAGCUCUGACUUUUCGACCUGAAGAUCACUGACCUCGUGAUUUGACCUCGUGUACCAUCAGUCCAUUAAAAUAAAAAAGCAAUUAAUUUCCAUUCAUGCUCCACAGUGCCUCACAAGUGCUAAACCAACUGAUCUAUUUUGUUAUCAAAGCUCGAGAUUUGAAAUAUAAUAUGGUCUGAUUAACAAUAUUGGCAGGCAAUCAUAUAGCCAAUAUCCAGGGAUAAUGUAUUAGGCCAACUGCCCAAACCUCAUUCCUACAAAACUGGUUUGUAUCAGGUUAAUGUAAAAAAAAAAAAAAAAAUCUGAGCAGUAGGUCUCAGCUUGCUUUUUGACUGCGAAAGUGAUCUUGACUCAGAAAAGGUUGGUGACCACUGGGCUAAAGAAAUGUAUUUUGUCUUCAGAGACUGUUGCACACCCAAAACUCUAAUGCCCAAAAAGUGAAUAAUGGAACAAUAAUUCUAACAAAGAAUUUGGGGAAUGGUCAGUGGGUAGAUGUAGAAAACUAAUGUCAUUGUUUUUCAUUUUGUGAUGUCAUUAAAAACUGUAUGAACGAAAUCCUGUAAUUUGGCAAGGAUAAUCCCUUUGUCAAAUUUCCAUCCAGUAAGUUGUCUGUGUGAUAUGAACAUUUAUUAAAGUAUUUUUGUUAAGAUAGGAAUGAGAUUUUAGGAGUCAUAAGAGAACUUCUAAUCAUAUCCUUUUCACAUUAUAUAGCCACACCCUGAGUGAGGUCAGAAGAGCAUGUCAGUAUGAUGGAACUGUCCUUUUCGACCAGAGUGCUUAAAGUGAUUGGCUCCG